AACGAACGCUGGCGGCAUGCCUGACACAUGCAAGUCGAACGAGACCUUCGGGUCUAGUGGCGCACGGGUGCGUAACGCGUGGGAAUCUGCCCUUCGGUUGGGAAUAACUGAGAGAAAUUUCAGCUAAUACCUUAUAAUGUCUUCGGACCAAAGAUUUAUCGCCGAGGGAUGAGCCCGCGUAGGAUUAGGUAGUUGGUGGGGUAAUGGCCUACCAAGCCGACGAUCCUUAGCUGGUCUGAGAGGAUGAUCAGCCACACUGGGACUGAGACACGGCCCAGACUCCUACGGGAGGCAGCAGUGGGGAAUAUUGGACAAUGGGCGAAAGCCUGAUCCAGCAAUGCCGCGUGAGUGAUGAAGGCCUUAGGGUUGUAAAGCUCUUUUACCCGGGAUGAUAAUGACAGUACCGGGAGAAUAAGCUCCGGCUAACUCCGUG
rnacentral:rRNA from 1 species